rfam:Sinorhizobium saheli strain LMG 7837 scaffold18, whole genome shotgun sequence.
AAGCAUUCUCGUGGUGAUUUGGCCGGCCGGCUUGCAGCCACGUUAAAGAAAUCGCUAAAGGGCCGAGGAAAAACGGAU